rnacentral:rRNA from 1 species
AACGAACGCUGGCGGCAUGCCUAACACAUGCAAGUCGAACGAGACCUUCGGGUCUAGUGGCGCACGGGUGCGUAACGCGUGGGAACCUGCCCUUAGGUUCGGAAUAACUCCCCGAAAGGGGUGCUAAUACCGGAUAAUGUCUUCGGACCAAAGAUUUAUCGCCUUUGGAUGGGCCCGCGUUGGAUUAGCUAGUUGGUAGGGUAAAAGCCUACCAAGGCGACGAUCCAUAGCUGGUCUGAGAGGAUGAUCAGCCACACUGGGACUGAGACACGGCCCAGACUCCUACGGGAGGCAGCAGUGGGGAAUAUUGGACAAUGGGCGAAAGCCUGAUCCAGCAAUGCCGCGUGAGUGAUGAAGGCCUUAGGGUUGUAAAGCUCUUUUACCCGGGAUGAUAAUGACAGUACCGGGACAAUAAGCCCCGGCUAACUCCGUG